ensembl:lncRNA
CUACUUUUAUGUAUUUAGUUGUAUCCCGAGUUUGGAAUACAACAGAGUUUUGAGUUGUUAGGUACGAUUCCAUAAAUCGAGUAUUGUGUAUUUCGUUUCAACUGGACUUUGAACUACAACAGAGUUAGUGCGUAGUUAUGAACGACUCCAUAAACCCACUUUUGUGUAUUUCGUUGUAUCCGGACUUUGGAAGUGAAACACAAUUAGUUCUUAUUUAUGUAAAAUUCCAUAAACCUUGUUCCUUGUAUUUCGUUGUAUCCGGACUUUGGAACUACAACAGAGUUAUUGAGUUGUUUGAAAUUUUCCAUAAACCUGGUUUUGUGUAUUUCGUUGUAUACGGACUUUGGAACUACAACAGUGUUAUUGGGUUGUUAUGAAGGAUUCCAAAAACCUAGUUUUGUGUAUUUCGAUAUAUCCGGACUUUAAACUACAAGAGAGUUAGUGGGUCGUUAUGAACGAUUCCAAAAACCUAGUUUUGUGUAUUUCGUUGUAUCCGGACUUUGAACUACAAGAGAUUUAGUGCGUCGUUAUAAAAGAUUCCAUACACCUAGUUUUGUAUAUUUCGUUGAAUCCGGACUUUGGAACUAAAACACGGUUAUUGCAUACAUAUGGAUUAGGGUUAGGGUUAGGGUUAGGGUUAGGGUUAGGGUUAGGGUUAGGGUUAGGGUUAGGGUUAGGGUUAGGGUUAGAGGGUUAGGGUUAGGGUUAGGGUUAGGGUUAGGGUUAGGGUUAUUUGUGUACUUCCUUGUACGAGGACUUUGAACUACAAGAGACUUAGUGCGUCUUUAUGAAUGAUUCCAUAAACCUAGUUUUGUGUAUUUCGUAGUAUACGGACUUUGUAACUAAAACUCAGUUAGUGCAUCGUCAUGAACGAUGCCAUCAACCUACUUUUGUGUAUUUCGUUGUAUCUGUAUUUUGAACUACAACAGAAUU